rnacentral:rRNA from 1 species
GCCUGCCGUUCGAGAUUAGAGUUUGAUCCUGGCUCAGAUUGAACGCUGGCGGCAGGCUUAACACAUGCAAGUCGAGCGGAGAGAGGUAGCUUGCUACUGAUCUUAGCGGCGGACGGGUGAGUAAUGCUUAGGAAUCUGCCUAUUAGUGGGGGACAACAUUUCGAAAGGAAUGCUAAUACCGCAUACGUCCUACGGGAGAAAGCAGGGGAUCUUCGGACCUUGCGCUAAUAGAUGAGCCUAAGUCGGAUUAGCUAGUUGGUGGGGUAAAGGCCUACCAAGGCGACGAUCUGUAGCGGGUCUGAGAGGAUGAUCCGCCACACUGGGACUGAGACACGGCCCAGACUCCUACGGGAGGCAACAGUGGGGAAUAUUGGACAAUGGGCGGAAGCCUGAUCCAGCCAUGCCGCGUGUGUGAAGAAGGCCUUAUGGUUGUAAAGCACUUUAAGCGAGGAGGAGGCUACUUUAGUUAAUACCUAGAGAUAGUGGACGUUACUCGCAGAAUAAGCACCGGCUAACUCUGUGCCAGCAGCCGCGGUAAUACAGAGGGUGCAAGCGUUAAUCGGAUUUACUGGGCGUAAAGCGCGCGUAGGCGGCUAAUUAAGUCAAAUGUGAAAUCCCCGAGCUUAACUUGGGAAUUGCAUUCGAUACUGGUUAGCUAGAGUGUGGGAGAGGAUGGUAGAAUUCCAGGUGUAGCGGUGAAAUGCGUAGAGAUCUGGAGGAAUACCGAUGGCGAAGGCAGCCAUCUGGCCUAACACUGACGCUGAGGUGCGAAAGCAUGGGGAGCAAACAGGAUUAGAUACCCUGGUAGUCCAUGCCGUAAACGAUGUCUACUAGCCGUUGGGGCCUUUGAGGCUUUAGUGGCGCAGCUAACGCGAUAAGUAGACCGCCUGGGGAGUACGGUCGCAAGACUAAAACUCAAAUGAAUUGACGGGGGGCCCGCACAAGUGGUGGAGCAUGUGGUUUAAUUCGAUGCAACGCGAAGAACCUUACCUGGCCUUGACAUAGUAAGAACUUUCCAGAGAUGGAUUGGUGCCUUCGGGAACUUACAUACAGGUGCUGCAUGGCUGUCGUCAGCUCGUGUCGUGAGAUGUUGGGUUAAGUCCCGCAACGAGCGCAACCCUUUUCCUUAUUUGCCAGCGAGUAAUGUCGGGAACUUUAAGGAUACUGCCAGUGACAAACUGGAGGAAGGCGGGGACGACGUCAAGUCAUCAUGGCCCUUACGGCCAGGGCUACACACGUGCUACAAUGGUCGGUACAAAGGGUUGCUACCUAGCGAUAGGAUGCUAAUCUCAAAAAGCCGAUCGUAGUCCGGAUUGGAGUCUGCAACUCGACUCCAUGAGGUCGGAAUCGCUAGUAAUCGCGGAUCAGAAUGCCGCGGUGAAUACGUUCCCGGGCCUUGUACACACCGCCCGUCACACCGUGGGAGUUUGUUGCACCAGAAGUAGCUAGCCUAACUGCAAAGAGGGCGGUUACCACGGUGUGGCCGAUGACUGGGGUG